rnacentral:rRNA from 1 species
ACGGGUGAGUAACGCGUGGGAAUCUACCCAUCCCUACGGGACAACUCCGGGAAACUGGAGCUAAUACCGUAUACGCCCUUCGGGGGAAAGAUUUAUCGGGGAUGGAUGAGCCCGCGUUGGAUUAGCUAGUUGGUGGGGUAAAGGCCUACCAAGGCGACGAUCCAUAGCUGGUCUGAGAGGAUGAUCAGCCACAUUGGGACUGAGACACGGCCCAAACUCCUACGGGAGGCAGCAGUGGGGAAUAUUGGACAAUGGGCGCAAGCCUGAUCCAGCCAUGCCGCGUGAGUGAUGAAGGUCUUAGGAUUGUAAAGCUCUUUCACCGGAGAAGAUAAUGACGGUAUCCGGAGAAGAAGCCCCGGCUAACUUCGUGCCAGCAGCCGCGGUAAUACGAAGGGGGCUAGCGUUGUUCGGAAUUACUGGGCGUAAAGCGCACGUAGGCGGAUAUUUAAGUCAGGGGUGAAAUCCCAGAGCUCAACUCUGGAACUGCCUUUGAUACUGGGUAUCUUGAGUAUGGAAGAGGUAAGUGGAAUUGCGAGUGUAGAGGUGAAAUUCGUAGA